GUUUCUUUUAAUAAGUGACUUAGAAAGUAAUUAUGGUUCAGUAUUUCAUAUUAAUUGAAUAAUUGGGAUUUCGUAAAUGUAAUAAAAGAUUUAUGGAUUCUUGCGAAAUGAAAAUAGUUUUUUAUCCCUCGUGGUAGUGUGUUUUGAAAAGAAAAAUAUUUUUGUGUGGGAAACGGUUUUAAAAAGAAUUUCCUGGUGUUGGUAGCCGAAUUUU
rnacentral:lncRNA from 1 species